rnacentral:lncRNA from 1 species
UCGGUCUCGCCGGCCGGCUGCGGCGCUGCCUUACGCUCCCGGUCUCCCUGUCUCCCUCCAUUCUUGCCUCACCCCUGCCCUAGACCAGCAAAUAUCCAAUAUAUUUGUUUCUCCGCACCCCAGGCCUCAGCGCAGCCAGCUCAGCGCUCGGGGAUCGCUGCCCCCGCACUGGGUCCUUAUGCGCUUUGCUUCCAGUCCCACCGACUGCAGCAUCUUUCUUUGCUAGCUGCCCGGGUAAAACGCUUCUGUCGCACUUUCCUGCUUCUCCCCCUUUCUUUCCGCCUCUGGAUCUGAGAAAGAAAUAAAACCAAGCCUCCUACCGCACCAGCCCUCCCCACCCCUGCUGCCUCACUUCUCCUUACCGAGUGUACCGCCUUGUUUUCUGAAGGAAACCGUAACAUUCAGACAUUUAAGCUGUAAAUGAACUUUUCUUUAUGACGUUUAAUUUUCUCUCCAAUUCUUAGGUCCUGCUCCGCUUCGCAGUGGAAUGGAACGGAUUUAGAAGCCUGCAGUAGGGGAGUGGGGAGUGGAGAGAGGGAGCCCAGAGUUACAGACUGCGGCGAGAGGCCCCAAAGAGUCUGAUGUUUACAAGACCAGAAAUGCCACGGCCGCGUCCUGGCAGAGAAAAGGCUGAAAUGGAGGACCGGCGCCUUCCUUAUAAGCUCGUUGGGGCCUAAGCCAGUACCGACCUGGUAGAAAAAGCAACCACGAAGCUAGAGAGAGAGCCAGAGGAGGGAAGAGAGCGCCAGACGAAGGUGAAAGCGAACCACGCAGAGAAAUGCAGGCAAAGGAGCAAGGCGGCAGUUCCCGGAACAAACGUGGCAGAGGGCAAGACGGGCACUCACAGACAGAGGAGUGAUUAUGCAGUGGGACCCUGCUGCAAACGGGACUUUGCACUCUAAAUAUAGACCCCAGCUUGGGACAAAAGUUGCAGUAGAAAAAUAGACAUAGGAGAACACUUAAAUAAGUGAUGCAUGUAGACACAGAAGGGGUAUUUAAAAGACAGAAAUAAUAGAAGUACAGAAGAACAGAAAAAAACUCAGCAGAUGGAGAUUACCAUUCCCAAUGCCUGAACUUCCUCCUGCUAUUAAGAUUGCUAGAGAAUUGUGUCUUAAACAGUUCAUGAACCCAGAAGAAUGCAAUUUCAAUGUAUUUAGUACACACACAGUAUGUAUAUAAACACAACUCACAGAAUAUAUUUUCCAUACAUUGGGUAGGUAUGCACUUUGUGUAUAUAUAAUAAUGUAUUUACCAUGCAGUUUUAAAAUGUAGAUAUAUUAAUAUCUGGAUGCAUUUUCUGUGCACUGGUUUUAUAUGCCUUAUG